UGGUUAUUUUCUCUCUUAAGAUGAACAGUCACUUUAAGUGCAUUAAGUGUUUAAAUUGUACAAUUAAUGAGAGAGAUCACUUUCCUAAUAAUAUAUAAAACAAGUGUAGAAAAUCGGAAGUUUAUGUGACGAUGACCGCCUAGAUUUUAUGGUGUAUAUUAUAGCAAAAUUUGCAAAGAAUGUAUCAAUAAUUUAAAAGGUUACAGUUCAACAGGCGGGUAUAUGGCGAACACUGAUCGUUUAUUUUACAAGACGACAUUUAUUGAUCGUAAAGGAGCCUGGACGUCAAGUGGAAUUAUUAAAAAGUGACGUUUAAUCGAGUAUAUAAGCAUGUUUGGGACAUUUACAAUGUUGCUGCGAUGCCAACAGGGCAACCCGAGUUUCCCAUGGGCUCGAUGUUUGAGUUCUCUUUCGUACAUUAAAGCUACAGACGUGAAUAAAAAUGGCAAUCAGAGUUUCCCAUGGGCUCGAUGUUUGAGUUCUCUUUGGUACAUAAAAGCUACAGACGUGAAUAAAAAUGUGAGAAUAUUUCAGCAUAAAGAUGUAGCGCCCAAUCCUCGCCCACUAGUGUUGCUGUUUGGUUGGCUGUUUGCCAAACCAAAACAUCUUAAAAAGUUUGUGGAUAUGUAUAAUCAAGAAGGCUUUGAUGUAAUAUCAGUACAGGUAUUCCUUCUACAGUUGCUAAGACCGAAGCGUGUGCAGUCACUGAUGCGAGAAGUCAUUGGCCUUUGCAACCAAAAGGAGAGAAAAGAACAGCAACUUCUUGUACACUCUUUGUCCGUCGGCGGGUAUAUGUAUGGGGAAGUGUUGACCACUUUAGAAAACAAUCCUGACAAAUAUGAAAAAUUUGGUCGACGUUUACGUGGGCAAAUCUUUGACAGCGUUAUUGACUUUUACGGAAUUCCUGGUGGCGUGGCAAGGGCGGUAACUCAUAAUAAGUCAAUUGGAAACAAGAUUGACGUCACUUUAGAAUGGUACUUGUCAAAGUUUCCGUCGGUAACGGCUGAUUAUGUAAAGGCAUCUCAGGCCUUUCAUGAUAAUAAGUUUCGCCUGCCUAGUAUUUUUCUAUAUUCUAUCAGCGAUCCGGUCUGCAACCCUGAACACUACGAGGAACUGGCGGCUACGUGGCGUAACGCCGGGCUGUACGCAACUUCGAGGUUCUGGGACGAUGCACCGCACGUGAGCACGUUCAAGAAACAUAAUAAAGAAUACACACAGACAAUUGUAGAUUUUAUUAGACAUACUGGGGUGAAGGAUACUCGAAAUAUCGAGAUGGAAGUUGAAAAUACCAAAGAUUAUAUAGACGUCAUUGCCAGUGGAAAGAUUAUGAGCACUUCAUGUCUGAACUAAGAAACCAACCACAAAGUUGAUAAACUUUUCAAAGAUAAACUGAUAUUGAUAUGUUAGUUUUUUAUAUGCAACUAUUAGUAUUUUGGUUCGGAGAUACCAUGAAACUAUUUAACUAUAUGUAUUAAUUACCAAAGAGAUAUUACACAUGAAGUGAUCGAAAUGUGAUAGUUGGUACCGUUCAAAAUAAUCGUAUGGUGCAGUUAAUUUAUAUUAAUACCAACAGGACAUUCUGCUUUUGUAUAUAAGCAAAUAAGUUGUCAUUGUUAUUUACUCAUAAAAACCGCUCGUUUCCAUAGAUUUAUCAUAUAAUGAAAUAAAGGAAAAUCGCCAUUUUGCUUACACCAGUAAAGCUGGAAAAUGGCUGGAAAAUCACCAUUUUGCACCAGUAACGCUGCUACGGGAAAAUCGCCAUGUUGCAUUCACCAAAAAAGCUGGAAAAUCGCCAUGUUCCUUCCACCAGUAAAGUUUUAAAAUAGCUCGAAAAUCACAAUGUUGCUUCCACCAGUAAAGCUUGAAAAUUAUCAUGUUGCUUAAAACCAUACGAAGCAAAAAAGUAUUAAGCUUUCCAGGCACAAAAACUGCCAACUGUAAAGAGUAGUCUUUAUAUAUUUUCUUGCAGCUAUUUUCAUUUUAAGGACGUUUUGGCCGAACAUAAUAAAGGUGCCUCCUGUCGGUCACAUCGCGAUCCUCUGCCAGCGAAGCUAGGAUCGGUUCUAAGAAUCCUCGCCACAAUAUAAAUGGUAUACCUGGCACGCAUGAUACUGCACAGAAGAUUUAAACAAGAAAAUAAACACGGAUGUUACAUACCUAUGAGUCAAAAUCUACGAGUGCCGUAAUGAAAAGAAAUCUACAUGUCCAAUGACCUACAAAUGUUCGGUCUAACGAUUUUAGUCAUGUAAAACCAAUUAUAACCGAUUUCACGCAUUACACAACAAAAGAACCCACUAAACGUAAGUACAAAACGGUAUAUUUCACUCUUAUUUAAAUAGAUUUUGUUGUCAAGAAGUAAAAGAUGUGGAAAAAAGACGGUUUUAUGAAGUUUUUUUCUUUGUGAAAUGCAUAGAAUUGCUCCAAAGUUACGUGAACGUGCCUUUGAAUGCUUAAUAUGCUUUGUAUGACGACUGGUUGUUGGCAGUUCUAGCAUAACUACUAGUAUUCGAAACCAUAGUCAUUGUUUCAAAGUAACAGGGCAUAUGGAAAAUUUACCGCGUAAAUUCGUGCGUCACAACGCCUGGUCAGCUUGAAGCACGUCAUCCCACUGUUUCAAAAUAAUACCAGUAUUAUUAUGUUUCAACAUGCUAAUGCCACAAGCCAUAUAGCGAAAGAUUCUGUGAAUUUAUACUGCACGAAUAAUAUUGCAUUCAAUAAUGAUUGCCCUUCCUGGUCAGACAUGAAUCUCAUCGAUGUGGGAUAAUUUGGACCAAUGUGUUAAUUCCACCGUCGAACAUCAAAGAACUAAUACAAUACUUAAUCUAGGAGUGCGAGAACAUUCCCAAACAGAAGUCAACUCACACUUGUCGAUAGUAUGCACAAACGAUGCCAGGCAUAUUUACGCGAUAUCUACAUUUAAACGCUGCGGAAGUUUCUUUUUUACUCAGCAUAUAAUAAGGAAAACAUAUAUACAUACUAGAAUACAAUCGGAUGAAAGAUGCACGUGACGUUAAUCUAAAUAACCUACAUACAUUAAAUAUACAAGUCCUCCUUCUCCGACUAUUCAUGUGACGAACAGAGUAUGGACACAUUUAUUUCCAAUGUGUCGGUCCCAUACCGAU